rnacentral:rRNA from 1 species
AAUGCCUAGGAAUCUGCCUGGUAGCGGGGGAUAACGUUCGGAAACGGACGCUAAUACCGCAUACGUCCUACGGGAGAAAGCAGGGGACCUUCGGGCCUUGCGCUAUCAGAUGAGCCUAGGUCGGAUUAGCUAGUUGGUGAGGUAAUGGCUCACCAAGGCGACGAUCCGUAACUGGUCUGAGAGGAUGAUCAGUCACACUGGAACUGAGACACGGUCCAGACUCCUACGGGAGGCAGCAGUGGGGAAUAUUGGACAAUGGGCGAAAGCCUGAUCCAGCCAUGCCGCGUGUGUGAAGAAGGUCUUCGGAUUGUAAAGCACUUUAAGUUGGGAGGAAGGGUUGUAGAUUAAUACUCUGCAAUUUUGACGUUACCGACAGAAUAAGCACCGGCUAACUCUGUGCCAGCAGCCGCGGUAAUACAGAGGGUGCAAGCGUUAAUCGGAAUUACUGGGCGUAAAGCGCGCGUAGGUGGUUUGUUAAGUUGGAUGUGAAAUCCCCGGGCUCAACCUGGGAGCUGCAUUCAAAACUGACUGACUAGAGUAUGGUAGAGGGUGGUGGAAUUUCCUGUGUAGCGGUGAAAUGCGUAGAUAUAGGAAGG